rnacentral:rRNA from 1 species
CCUACGGGGCGCACCAGUGGGGAAUAUUGCACAAUGGGCGGAAGCCUGAUGCAGCGACGCCGCGUGCGGGAUGACGGCCUUCGGGUUGUAAACCGCUUUCAGCUCUGACGAAGCUUUUGUGACGGUAGGAGCAGAAGAAGCACCGGCUAACUACGUGCCAGCAGCCGCGGUAAUACGUAGGGUGCGAGCGUUGUCCGGAAUUAUUGGGCGUAAAGAGCUUGUAGGCGGCUUGUCGCGUCUGCUGUGAAAGCCCGGGGCUUAACCCCGGGUCUGCAGUGGGUACGGGCAGGCUAGAGUGUGGUAGGGGAGACUGGAAUUCCUGGUGUAGCGGUGGAAUGCGCAGAUAUCAGGAGGAACACCGAUGGCGAAGGCAGGUCUCUGGGCCAUUACUGACGCUGAGAAGCGAAAGCGUGGGGAGCGAACAGGAUUAGAUACCCGUGUAGUC